UGGGUUGUGGCUCAGUGGUAGAGCGCUUGCCUCACAUGUGUGAGUAACUGGGUUCAAUCUUCAGCAACACAU
rfam:Ictidomys tridecemlineatus contig094061, whole genome shotgun sequence.